rnacentral:lncRNA from 1 species
AGUAAAUCCAUGUAUCAGCUGAGGGUCUGGUGAAUGGGCACCGCAAGUGUGACCCAAGACAACUGGAGGUCUGGGAGUCUCCCUUCUGUGUGUUUUAGCUCAGAGUCUGGGGUCUGGAAACCACUCCUAAUGACUGUGUGCUUGUCCAUGGGAGGCUCCUGAAGGACUUGCUGGAGGAGGCAGUGUGUUAACCCGCUGGGACGAAGGAGCCAUUCUGUCCUGUGCCCCGCUGCCUGUGUCUGAACACACCAACUACCUCAGUGUCUAGCCAGGGCACCAACCUCUGUGUAGCCCUGGAAGUUAUGGGAACAGGAUUAUACACUGCAGCCAUCAAAACCGGUUUAAGGGUCUUCAAGAUGACUCAGCAGAUAGAAGGAUUGCUGCCAAUGCCUAGUAACCUGUAUUUGAUAGCCAGGAUCUACAUAGUAAGAUAGAACAAACUCCAGGAAGUUGUCUUCUGACCUUUCACCCCAUGCCCUUCUUCCUCCAAACAAUAAAUGUAGUGAAGAAUUGUAAUGGUUUAUCAUCGAUGGCCUUUCCAAAGUAAAUCUAGAGCUAGACAUGAUCCCGGGAGGAGAGAGGCAGAGGCAGGGAGACCAACAGUUCAAGGCCAUUGUACAAAAGUAACUGGAAGACCAAGAGAAAGUCAUCUGAAGUGAUAAGGAAGAGUGUGCAUGGGCAAAAGGACACAUGGGACUUCGUGAAAGAGGAAAAGAAUCUGGAGGAAGAGGCCACAAAGGGAAAUAAGGAGACGGUGGAUGUCAUAAUGGUACUUGUGGUGGCUUGGACCGUAAUGGCCCCUGUGAAUUCAUGUGUUUGAAUGCCUGGUUCGUUGCUUAUAGAACUGUUUGGGAAGGAUUAGGAGGUGUGGCCUUGUUGGAGGAGGUGUGUCACUGGAGGUGAGGCUUGGGUUUUAAAAGACUCCUGCCACUCUCAAUUCUCCCUCUCUGGCUCCUACUUUCAAUUAAGCUUCAAGCUUGAAGCUGUUCCUGCUAUCACACCUUUGCUCUGCCGUGGUGAACUGUGACCCUCUGAAACCGUAAGCCCAAAUAAACACGU